CCUACGGGGGGCAGCAGUGGGGAAUAUUGGACAAUGGGGGGAACCCUGAUCCAGCCAUGCCGCGUGUGUGAAGAAGGCCCUCGGGUUGUAAAGCACUUUCAGUGAGGAAGAACGCCUGGUGGUUAAUACCCAUCAGGAAAGACAUCACUCACAGAAGAAGCACCGGCUAACUCCGUGCCAGCAGCCGCGGUAAUACGGAGGGUGCGAGCGUUAAUCGGAAUUACUGGGCGUAAAGCGCGCGUAGGUGGCUUGAUAAGCCGGUUGUGAAAGCCCCGGGCUCAACCUGGGAACGGCAUCCGGACCUGUCAAGCUAGAGUGCAGGAGAGGAAGGUAGAAUUCCCGGUGUAGCGGUGAAAUGCGUAGAGAUCGGGAGGAAUACCAGUGGCGAAGGCGGCCUUCUGGACUGACACUGACACUGAGGUGCGAAAGCGUGGGUAGCAAACAGGAUUAGAUACCCUAGUAGUC
rnacentral:rRNA from 1 species